rnacentral:snRNA from 1 species
GUACUAGCUUCAGCGGUACAUAUACUAAAAUUCCAACGAUGCAAAGAACAUUAGCAUGGCCGCUGCGCAAGGAUGACACGCAAAAUCGUGAAGCGUUCCGCAGUCUA